ensembl:snRNA U6 U6 spliceosomal RNA
GUGCUCACUCCAGCAGCACAUAUACUAAAAUUGGAACGAUACAGAGAUGAGUAUGGCCCCUGCAUAAGUAUGACUCACAAAUUUGUGAAACAUUCUGUAUUUGU